AGCAUCACAUCCACCAGACGUGCGGGCAGCACGCAGACUGAGAGCUCAGCGCCCUGUGGGGGCGGGCACCGCGUGCUGGCUGUCCAUCUGUGAAGAGGCACCUGGGGGCCUUUUCCCUGAUGUUUGCUGUGGCUGAAAAGUGAGAUUGGAGGGAGCGUGGAGAAGGUAGCCCGGCCCAGACACUGAGGCCCUUUGCAGCCAGCAGAAGAGGCUUAGCUUUUGCAGAGGGCGAUGGGUCCCUGGAGCAUCUGGGACAGGAGACUGCCACGUUAGGACAUUAGGACGCAGGCUGCAGAGGCAUCAGCUAGGGGAAGCCGUGGACCUUGGGGCACUCCGGUGAGUGAGACAGAAAGGAGACAGAAGGCACAGCCCGAGCAGUGAGACAGGCGUGGAGUGACACGAUUCGGCGCCCCGAAGUCUCACUCCAGCUGCCGUGGAUGCCACACGGCCGCACUCCAGGGGCGGAGGCUGACGUACCCCGACACCAUCAGUCUACUCGUGCUGGGAGCGGAUCGCACACUGUGUCUUCUGAUGUCCACCCCACCAUCGUUCAGGACUCUGACCUGUCAGCAGGCGGCUCUGCGCAGCCUCGUAUUCGUCCAGGGGUCCCACUUACGGUGAAGGAGGAGGGGCAGUGAGCCCGUGCAGUGGGACCCACCGGUCCCCUCACAGGCACCGCACAGUCCAGAAGCCGCUGGCCCCGCCAAGAGGCAAAGCUGCCUUUCAGCUCAGAGGUAACAGCCUAGUCCGGUGGAAGUGAACGCUUCCGGAAAGGGAAGUGGUAAGUGUCUGAUUCAAUGUUGAGUCAUGGCUCCUUGUCCCAGAAGACUAGCAGGCCAAGGAAGGGGUCUCCUCGUGGUCACCAGAGGAGGAAGCAGCCAGAAUCCUGGAGAUGCUCUCCCGAUGGCGACCCCUGUGGCUGGCGGGUCUGAGAGGCACCACGGUGGACUGUGGCCGGCAUUACGGCGUGCUGCCCAGAUUCGCCCCUUAGGACGAGGGCUCUCAUUCCCUCCGUGGCUGGGAGUGCAGGCUGCCGAUGGCUCAGAGAAGUCCCUCCUGGGCUCUCAGCCGCGAGGCACCCCUCCCUGGACACAGCCCCAUGCAGUCAUGCAGUGACUGGCUUGUGCACUGUGCAAAGGCCCCACCCUCUGGUGUCAGGUCAGGACGUCCCUGCAGGGCCAGGUGGUCCCUCACCGGUCAGCUUCUCCUCCCCAAGAAGCAGCCUGCAUGUCAGUGUCCGUCUCUCAGGGAGCCCGACCUACAGCCGCACCUGUCACCCAGCACUCCAGUCUCGUCUGUGUUCCCGCUGUAGCAAUGAUGUUCCCUCUGCCCGGAACCACUCCUUGCCUUUUGUCCCUACACCUUAAGCAGCAGUCACAGAUCUCAUCGAUUGUCCUGACCUGUAAAUACUGCUCUUUCAUUGUUGUACAAAUGCUGACUUGCCCGAGAGUCUGCUCACAGACACAGCAGCGAAGGCCCCGCAAUCAUCACGUGUCGUCAAUCGUUUCAUCGACAUCUGCAGAGUCAUAAACAACGGAACAGCUGAAUACACUCCAUCUGCCAGAAGAAGUAAAGCGUAAAAAUAGCACUGAAGCCCCUUGAAUUCCUUACUGAUCAAUGUCCCCACCAGUACCCAGAGGUGACCACUCUCCUGAAUUUGGUGGUGAACAUUCUUUUAGUUUAAAAAAAGGGAGGUAAAUACCACAGGCAUUCACGUUCAACUUUUUCCCCCCACUCACGUUGUGAAAUUCAUUCAUGUUGAUAUAUUAUAGUUAUUUUCUUACCAUAUA